GGAGGUUGUAAGAGAUCCUGCCACUGGCUAGGUAGGUAUUCCCUUCCUCCUUCACCUCUCCUUCUGUGUCCUUCCAGAAGCUGUGCUCUUGGUCAAAGAGGACAACCUUCUCUAAAUAGAGGAGGAAAGGUCCUCAGUCAAGGUCAUACCAGUAGCUGUGUUCCCCUGCUAGAAUCUCCAAACAAGGUCAUAUUUGGCAGUUUUAAUAUAAUGCCCUCCCACUGGCUCAUAUAUUUGAAUGAACAGGAGUGGAACUCUUU
rnacentral:snRNA from 1 species